CCACAGGCCCUGCUCCUCACCCAGGUCCCACCUCUCCAAGGUUCCACCCCUCACCCAGGUCCCACCUCUCCAAGGCUCCGCCCCUCACCCAGGUCCCACCUCUCCAAGGCUCCGCCCCUCUCCCAGGGCCCACCUCUCCAAGGCUCCAUUCCUCUCCCAGGUCCCACCUCUCCAAGGCUCUGCCCCUCACCCAGGUCCCACCUCUCCAAGGCUCCAUUCCUCUCCCAGGUCGCACCUCUCCAAGGCCCUGCCUACCUCUCCAAGGUCCCACCCACCUAUGAAUAGGCCACAUUCCUGUCCUGGGACCACCUGUCCAAGGCUCUGCCCCUCACCCAAGUCUGACCUCUCCAAGCCCCAUCCACCUAUGCACAGGCCACACCCUCAUCCUAGGACCGUUUCUCCACAAGACCCACUCCUUCCCCACCAGGUCCCACCUCUCUCCAAGCCCUGCCCCACCUGCUCCACACUACACAGCUUCUCCACCGAGCCCUUGAAGUGCUUCAUACAAUCAUCUGCUAGAUGCAGGUGCGUAGAAUACUGCAGGGUGCAGGGUGGGGGUUGGGGGAUAACAAAGGCUGAGUCAAGGCAGAACGCAGACAGAGCAUGGGGUUGAGGGGCCGAGG
rnacentral:lncRNA from 1 species